rnacentral:rRNA from 1 species
GAUGAACGCUAGCGGCAGGCUUAAUACAUGCAAGUCGAGGGGCAGCACGAAUAGCAAUAUUUGGUGGCGACCGGCGCACGGGUGCGUAACACGUAUACAACCUACCUAUAACAGGGGGAUAGCCUUUCGAAAGAGAGAUUAAUACCCCGUAAUAAAUUUGAUGGCAUCAUUAGAUUUUGAAAGCUCCGGCGGUUAUAGAUGGGUAUGCGUCUGAUUAGCUAGUUGGUGAGGUAACGGCUCACCAAGGCGACGAUCAGUAGGGGAUCUGAGAGGACUAACCCCCACACUGGUCAUAGGACACGGACCAGACUCCUACGGGAGGCAGCAGUAAGGAAUAUUGGUCAAGGGAGGCAACUCUGGACCAGCCAUGCCGCGUGCAGGAUGACGGCCCUAUGGGUUGUAAACUGCUUUUGUACCAGAGAAAACCCCAGUACGUGUACUGGGUUGAUAGUAUGGUAAGAAUAAGCAUCGGCUAACUUCGUGCCAGCAGCCGCCGUAAGAC